UGAGUGUCGUGGUGGUUAAAGCUCUGUGUGUAACUUCUAAAUCUAUUGGUUUCAUCAUCACGCAACAGGAACUAUAACUAAAGUGAACUUUAGGACUAAUAUUAUAAAAUAUGAAAUUUUUGUUAGUUAGAACAUCGUGUUUAGGGGAUUCUAAAAUACUCUUCGGUUUUUGAUCGAUUCUUUUGGAUUUGACACCGAAGAAGUCGCUGUGGACGUUGAGCAGAGAGCCGCUAUUUCUCGAAGCUUCCAGCUUACUAAGACUGCAGCUAGUUAACGGGAGCUAACCGGUGAAGCGGAUGUAGAACAUUUUAAAGCUUUCAAAACAUUUCUUCAAAAGUCUCCAGCGGCACUACUUUCUUCUCGAUUCGCCGGAUGGGCGAGCUAAUGUCUCCGUGAGCAAAUAUAUAAGUCCUAAUGGUUCCUCUCACCUCUCAGCGAUACUUCGAUGAGCUCGAGAAACAGAGGUUUCGAUGUCGAUUGGGUGGUAGCGCAGACCUCGCAGCUCCAGGGUCUCAUCCAGUGAGCCCACCACGAAAAGAGCGUCAUGGCGCAUCCAGGAGCUCGGUUCUCUUCACAAAACCCAAGUACCCGGUUCUGGCCCACAGAGUGUGCGGGUCUCCAAAGCUGAGCUUGGUGUUGAAGUGGUCAGCCUGAAGACCCUCCUCUCCAUAGAUGGUGUAGUAACCACUGGCAUUAUGGGGGCUAUUCACCCAGACCUGAUGGAGAAAGGAGGGCGGAGUCAUGCUGCUGAUUCAAGAGUACCGCCAUGAGACUCCAUGAGAGGAAGACUCUGAGGUGCUCCUCUUUCCACCAGCCUCACUCUGAAAGGGUUUACAUUAAUAAACGAAUGCAUGUACACAUAUUUGUAACAUGUACAUUUAACGAAAAA